UUUCCGUAGGUGAACCUGCGGAAGGAUCAUUACUGAGUGAGGGCCCCUCGGGGUCCAACCUCCCACCCGUGUUUAACGAACCUUGUUGCUUCGGCGAGCCCGCCUCACGGCCGCCGGGGGGCAUCUGCCCCCGGGCCCGCGCCCGCCGAAGCCACCUGUGAACUCGUCUGUAGUAUGUAGUCAGAGACAAUUAUUAAAUUAAUUAAAACUUUCAACAACGGAUCUCUUGGUUCCG
rnacentral:misc_RNA from 1 species